CAUGAAAUCAAACUGGAACUUUUAGGCCAUAGUUUCCAAUGGUAGGUUUGCUACAAAAUCAACAGCACAUCAACAAAAGAAUAACCACAGAGAUGUGGUGUGGUGGCUCCAUCACACUUCUUAAACAGACGACACCAGACUUUUUCACAAUGUGAAUUAAAUGAUUCAUAUUUCCAAAUUUUAGUGUGUUUUCACACCUGAUGGUAAACUCGGUUCGACUGGAGAGAAAAACUACAAGAUAUGUGACAUUUUCAGCUGGUAGGGUUUGUUUUCACGCUGCAUUGUAUCAAACAAAGCAAACCCUUUGAAAAACCUGUUUCAAACCUGUUUUCUUGUGGUGGCACUGAACCAAAAAACACUAAAGGAAACACGAAAACCUCUCAAGAAGACUGAGUCUGAGUCUUGGGCUAAAGACCACGAGUCAUUUCUACUGCAAGCACUAGACUUGUUUUAGUGUACAGGUACUUCCAUGUAAAUUUUGAAGAAAGUUCCAUUUAUCAUAAAUGUUCAAUCCACUGUACAUUAUAAAUAUGAAUACAUUUGACCUAUAUGUGUUCCUGUUAACUAAUUUAUUAGAUUUUAUUAUGGGUAGUGGAACAAUAAAAUCUCAAAUUUGCAUGACAAAAAUGUAAGAAAUUUAACAUUAUGGUGGCUUUUUAUGCAUUAUAUUAAUAUUUAUUGUCCCAAACUUUGUGCAAAGCAAUAGAUCAUACAUAUCUGACUGAAAACGUUCUUUGCCAUUAAGUCACCAAGCACAUAUGUUUAAAUAUAUUAGCAUAUGGUUAAAUAUUUGUGCAAAACAGAAUAAUCUUUAUACAGAAUAUUAUGGGUUUGAUUCAGAAAUUCAAGCACUUGGAACAAAGUGUAUCAAUUGUUG